rnacentral:lncRNA from 1 species
UCUCAGUCCCUUUCUUGAAAAUUUAGGGGCUUGUUAAUCAUAUCUCCAUAGUUGCUUUGUGUGACUAACUGGUUCUGCAUGAUUUUAAUCGAGUUUUUCACUUGGCUGCUAUGUUAACUUUUGUUUAAAAGAAAAUAAACUCAGGAAUUGACUGAAUUUAAUGGAAAUUAGGUUUUCAAAAAUGCCCUGUUGUAGUAACUUAAACGUUAAUUUGAUUCUUAGUAUUUUCCACCUUUGGUUAAUUUAAAAUUUUCCAUGUAUGAUUUUAUUAUAAGGAGGGGCUAUACGUAUAUUGUCAUAGAAAGAUUUUCUAAGUAACAAGAAAUCUAUGUAUUAACAAACCUAGUGAUGCUGGUUUAAGAAAAACUAAAACCACAAGAAGCCACCUCAAAUUUAGUAACGCUUCCCACUAACCCCAUGAUUUGAGUUGUCCUCCAGCUAGCCGAGUGUUUCCAAACAUCACUGUAAUAUCUUAUACUCCCUAUGGAUUCUUUCAACCCACCAAACCCCAAAUGUGGGUGGACUGAAUUGAAAAAAAAAAAAAAAACAAAGUUGGACAAUAUAGUUUAUUGCACUUACAUUGAAAAUAUUUUGCCAAGAUGAACUGAGACUAGAGGAAGUACAUCUGAAUUUACAGCAGCCCGGUGAUACUGAAUAACCUUCUCCAGGCCACUCCAGCGCCAAGCCAGCCUGUAGCUUCUAUGCUCUGUACAAUGGGAAAGUUAUGGCUGCAAUUAGAGGCCACUGAUUCUUUCUAUUUUAUCUGAUCAGAAAUGAGUGGAGUCAAACAUUUCACAUGUAGCAGGCCAGCUCCAGCCAUCUGGUGAUUUCAAGACAUCUUUGUCUCUUUUUCAUUAUGGAGUUUCAAGCUUGGCAGGUUAUCUCUGAAAUUCCCUUUCCCCCAGGUAGAAAUUUAGAGUAUUUGUUUGUAUAAAGAAAAAUGCAGAUUUUCAUAAAUGGCUCUUUGGUUCUUGGGUAGAAACUAAAACCCCAAGCAAGACAGCCAGGCAGCUACAAACUGAAGGCUCAUUGGGAGCUGCUGAGAAGGUGGGUAGAGGCGGCCAGCAUGCAAAAGUACUUGGUAAUUGGCAAUGUUGUGUUCCGUUUUAGAUAUUAGCUUCUUUUUCAGCCUGGACUACCACAUUAUUUUAGAAGAGUGGCCAAUUUGCUGUGAUAUAUACAUAGAAAUAACCUUGGAAGAACUUACUUUGCAGUUUGAGGGAUGAAGUGGGAAAAAAAACAAAACAAAACAAAACAAAACAAAAC